rnacentral:piRNA from 1 species
UGGUCUUAACAAAGGUAGUGGCAGAGC